rnacentral:rRNA from 1 species
CGUGUAGGCGGCUGGAUAAGUCAGAUGUGAAAGCCCUGGGCUUAACCCAGGAAGUGCAUUUGAAACUGUUCAGCUUGAGUAAGGGAGAGGAGAGUGGAAUUCCUGGUGUAGAGGUGAAAUUCGUAGAUAUCAGGAGGAACACCGGUGGCGAAGGCGACUUUCUGGCCCUAUACUGACGCUGAGACGCGAGAGCGUGGGUAGCAAACAG